AGUUGAGAACCGUUACUUGACUGGUACCUCCAGCCCACCAGCAGGCAAUGAUGGCAUCAGACUAGAGGAUCACCAGUAAAUCAUUGUAAACAAGCGUGGAAAGAGAGAAAGUCCACUUUAAGCGAUGGAAAAUCAGCCCCAAUUCUGAAGGAACAACCAUGAACAGAUGAUUUAAGGAGAAUCAAUUCUUUGCUCUUUGCAGAAGGAGCCAACAGAGUGAGAUGAAGGGGACAACUUCAGAUACUCAGGCAGAAGCAUAAGUCCCCACCUGCUGACCUGCUGCCUGCUAUCUUAACACGAAUUCUUCAUCUGAAUGGAUGAGCUUUUCACAGGGCAUUGUCUACCUAAAAGCAUCAACCUAAAUCCUAAAGAUGAGAGGAAAAUCAAAGCUGAAUGCACACCUGGCCCAAGAGCUGGAGAAGCUAAAGGCGGGACCAGGGAAAGGUGGAGCGGUUGCAGACUCAGCUGCUGGCCCACAUCAACAAGGUGAGCCAGCAGAUCCUUCCACCCCACUUGCUGAUACAGCUUCAACAAAGAAGGGUGUUCACCAACUGACUACAAGAAUCAUUGCUAACCAGGGAUGACUCAUUCUCACAUCCAUCCUAAAUAGACUUCCUUGGAUACAAAAAAUCCAGAGUUUGCCGUAUCUCCAUGGACACUGUCAUUUAGACAGGACACUUACUUCUUGGGAAACUCACUUCCAUUUUCCUAAUAAGGUUCCCUUUGAAGACUAAGAAUUUCUCCAAGACAAAAUUCAUGUAAGCCAAAAUACCAGACAUCAGGCCUGUAAUUGUGGUCACCCUGGCCACAGCCAAGUUGUCACCUUCACUCACGAUCAUCUUUCUGCCCUCUGCUACUUGUAGAAUAAUGAUCAUAAAGUAUUGUUGUCUGAAGCCCCUUUAGAAAAGUUGAUUUACAGCAGCCCAUGAGAGAGGUAGAUUAGAGAUGACCAAUGUCCUGAGAACACCAAGAAGCACUCAUCUUUGAUUCUCAGGGCUUGACAUUUCAGAAACAAAUCCAGACACAUUAUAAUAAUGACCCUGGUCCAUUGUGAGCCCAUUAGAAAACACUCACAAAUAAGUAUUCAAAAUUUUCCAGUUAUUUUGACUCCUAAAAAUGUCUUCCAAGAUAUAUCAAAGUUUCCGUAAUUUUGCAAUCAACUUGGUUUUUAUUUAAACCAAGUAGCAACUCUCUCUGUAGCAACCCUGACUUUUCUUGUUAUUAAAUCACUCUAUAAUUAAAUAUAAAGUUAUUGGUGACAUUCACAGAAAAUCCUAGAGAGUAUGGAGUUCUUGCUACAGAAGAUAUACUUUAUUGAAAUGUAAAAGAAGUCAGUUAAAUUUAUAAU
rnacentral:lncRNA from 1 species